UUGAAGCUAAGCUUCGUGUGAUGCAGUUUGUCGACAGGGCUGCUUUUGUUAAAGAAUUGAGGUUGGUCUACAUUGGUUCACCAAGAAAAAGAGGUGUGUAUUAUGUUCAAACAAUGAAAUAAAAUCUAUUUAGUCGUGUGUAUCCAAGAUCUUAAUUAAUUACUCUCAAAGCAGCAACCAAGAAUCAGAUUUAGGGUUUCGUUCGUCUGCACCCUUAAUCGAAUUAGAGUGGAGAUAAUUGCAACAUCCCAACCUGUUACUGUAUUUCUCAUUUGAUUUGAUAUGUAGUAUUUGGUUGUGAAAAAUACAACUUGAUCACUUUAUCAUCUUCCUGCCCAAAUAAUUUGUAGAUAAUCAACCAAUUUGCUGUCAAACUUACAAUUGGUUAUUUAUUGAUGGUUUAGUACUUAUUUUUAUUUCCUUUGUUUCAUGUGAAUAUCAUUUAUCUGCUGGUCUUGGAACUAAUAAAGUUGUUGCGGAGCGCUGGGCGCUGGACAUGUAGCUGGCUGAAGUAUUUGGGUUGUGAUCAGAUCUUGUUGUGGGCUGUAACAUAUAGGGUUGGUCUUCUGGUGGGCUACUUCUUCAUCAGCUACUUGAUGAGCACCUACAACAAUUACCAAUGGCCAUGUAAAGUUGGAAAGUGGAACUACUCGGGGCAGUCUUCAAGAAUAUGUUUUGAACUCAAGCAGUGAGUGAAAGACUUGAGCUUAUUUGGAGUCAACCCGUUCAGUGUCCAAAGAAAGAGCCAAGAUGAUGUAGAAU
rnacentral:lncRNA from 1 species